rnacentral:lncRNA from 1 species
GGGACAGCCGUCCCCAUCGGAACGAGCACCACGGGGACAGCCGUCCCCAUCCAGGAAGGCUCGGGGAUGGCACACUCGGCCCGGCCCUGGGCACGGUGGCGCAGCGGGGGGCCGCCUGUCCACGACACGUGGCCUCUUGCGUAAGCCGGGCCAAGUCCGCUCGACUUUUCUGGGGAAGGCGAGAGGUUUGUGAAACCUUAGGCAGGGAUUUGCCCACUGGCCGCCGCGUCACCGCCGCUGCGAGGUUGGGUGUAUUCCAAGAACCCCGCGGCGCUCACAGGGCUUCCCGGACUCUCGAGUCAGCAGCGGGUUGCAGCACUGCGCCGCAGCCUGAGGCAAGAGGGAAGGGGCCCCGAAAGGCAGCGGACCGGGGCCCUGCUGGGAAGCGGGGCCGGAGCUGUUCCCACAGGGAUGCGGGGGCUGCCGACUCCUGGUGGGCGGCUUCCCCGCUCUGCCCCACAGCGGGGCGCUGCCAGCUGCCCCCCAGGAGCCUGGGGGUGCCGAACCCCUCCAGGGACCCCGGUUACCCCUUUUCCAUGCCCAUCCCCAGGCCAUGCGAGGUGGCUGCCCUCCACCCAGAGGGGCUCAGUGAGCGGGGCUGCCCGGUCCUGCUGGCACACCAGGUAAAAUAUCUUCCAGGUAGAGCUGCACCUUCCGCUGUCACGGAGCCCUGCCGGACCCCCAGCCCCGAGGAAGGCAGAGGGGGAGGCGCAGCAAUUCCUGGGAGCGAUGUUCCUGGUCCCUCCCCAGGGAGGCUGCGAGCUGCAGGAGUGAUGCUCUCCCAGGGGCAGCUCUCCUGGGGGCUGCUCUCCCCUGCAGCCCUGCUCCCACCCCGGUCCUGCCGUGGGCUGGGAGCCCGGUGCUGCCGGGGGGCUGGGGCAGGGAGUGGCGGGGGGAGCCCUGACGUCGGGAUGAGUCUCAGCAGGGCCUGGCGGGCGGCCACCCGCGCGCAUGGACAUUCCUCACAUAGCUCUGGCGGGUGCCCGGGCAGGCUGCGAGGCGCUUCCUGGCAGCCCACGAGCCGUGGCCCCACAGCACAGCACCAAAAUAGUCACUGGGGCC